rnacentral:rRNA from 1 species
CACUCUGCGGGAGGCAGCAGUGAGGAAUAUUGGACAAUGGGUGGAAGCCUGAUCCAGCCAUCCCGCGUGCAGGAAGACGGCCCUAUGGGUUGUAAACUGCUUUUAUCUGGGGAUAAUCCUACUUACGUGUAAGUAGCUGAAGGUACCAGAAGAAUAAGCACCGGCUAACUCCGUGCCAGCAGCCGCGGUAAUACGGAGGGUGCAAGCGUUAUCCGGAUUUAUUGGGUUUAAAGGGUCCGUAGGCGGACUGAUAAGUCAGUGGUGAAAUCCGACAGCUUAACUGUCGAACUGCCAUUGAUACUGUUAGUCUUGAGUAAGGUUGAAGUGGCUGGAAUAAGUAGUGUAGCGGUGAAAUGCAUAGAUAUUACUUAGAACACCAAUUGCGAAGGCAGGUCACUAAGUCUUAACUGACGCUGAUGGACGAAAGCGUGGGGAGCGAACAGGAUUAGAAACCCUGGUAGUCCCA